rnacentral:tRNA from 1 species
UUCAAUAUGGCAGAAUUAUGCAAUGAACUUAAACCUCAUUUAUGAAUUUCAUAUUCUUUUGAAA